CUGAAUUGUCAAACACGGGUUGUUGCUGGUCUUCAAACGGGGACAUGUGCACGCUCUGUUUACACAUCCAUUCACACCUGUGCACCCUCUGUAGUUCUAUGGUCUGGGGGACAUCGUCUUCCUUCCGUAGCGCUGCAUCUUUACACAUACGCUGUAACAAAGUCCUAUGGAAUGUGUGCCGCGUUUAACGCAAUACAAUA
rnacentral:misc_RNA from 1 species